rnacentral:rRNA from 1 species
CUAAAAACCCCCCCUUUUAUAAAAUUUAAGACCUCAAAUCAGGUGGGACUACCCGCUGAACUUAAGCAUAUC